rnacentral:rRNA from 1 species
GAUGAACGCUAGCGGCAGGCUUAACACAUGCAAGUCGAGGGGCAGCAUGAGACGGAGAUUCGUCAAAGUCUUGAUGGCGACCGGCGCAAGGGUGCGUAACGCGUGAGCAACUUGCCCGUUUCUGGGGAAUAACCGGUGGAAACGCCGACUAAUACCCCAUAGUAUCAGAUUGAGGCAUCUUUAUCUGAUUAAAGAACUUCGGAAACGGAUAGGCUCGCGUGACAUUAGCUAGAUGGCGGGGUAACGGCCCACCAUGGCAACGAUGUCUAGGGGUUCUGAGAGGAAGGUCCCCCACACUGGAACUGAGACACGGUCCAGACUCCUACGGGAGGCAGCAGUGAGGAAUAUUGGUCAAUGGUCUAACGACUGAACCAGCCAUGCCGCGUGAAGGUCACGGCCCUAUGGGUCUUAAACUUCUUUUGUAAGGGAGCAAUAAGCUCUACGUGUAGAGUGAUGAGAGUACCUUACGAAUAAGCAUCGGCUAACUCCGUGCCAGCCGCCGCGGUAAUAC